rnacentral:rRNA from 1 species
AUACGUAGGUGACAAGCGUUAUCCGGAUUUACUGGGCGUAAAGGGCGUGUAGGCGGUCUUGCAAGUCAGAAGUGAAAUUCCUGAGCUCAACUCGGGCGCUGCUUCUGAAACUGCAGGACUUGAGUGCUGGAGGGGAUAGCGGAAUUCCUAGUGGAGCGGUAAAAUGCGCAGAUAUUAGGAAGAACACCGGUGGGGAAGGCGGUUAACUGGACAGUAACUGACGCGGAGGCGCGAAAGCGUGGGGGGCAAAAAGGAUUAGAUACCCUAGUAGUCCACGCCGUAAACGAUGAUGACUAACUAUAGCCGUGAGGCUGUGGUGAAGCUAACGCAUUAGGUCAUCCGCCUGGGGAGUACGGUCGCAAGACUGAAACUUAAAGGAAUUGACGGGG